AUUGAACGCUGGCGGCAGGCCUAACACAUGCAAGUCGAACGGUAACAGGAAACUGCCUGCUGUUUUGAUGAGCGGAGGGGGGAGGGAGAGCUAUGACUGUGCCACUUAGUGAUGGAGGGCGUCCACAACUGGGCACUGUAACCAAUAACGCCUUGCGUCGGAAGGCGGAGGAGGGUGGGACCUCGCGCUAUUAGCUUAGGCUGGGUCGGAUUAGCUAGUUGGUGGGGUAAGGGCCUACCAAGGCGACGAUCCGUAACUGGUCUGAGAGGAUGAGCAGUCACACUGGAACUGAGACACGGUCCAGACUCCUACGGGAGGCAGCAGUGGGGAAUAUUGGACAAUGGGCGCAAGCCUGAUGCAGCCAUGCCGCGUGUGUGAAGAAGGUCUUCGGAUUGUAAAGUACUUUCAGCUGGGAGGAAGGGAAUUAAGUUAAUACCUUGGCUUAUUGACGUUACCCACAGAAUAAGCACCGGCUAACUCCGUG
rnacentral:rRNA from 1 species